GUGGGGAAUAUUGGACAAUGGGCGAAAGCCUGAUCCAGCAAUGCCGCGUGAGUGAUGAAGGCCUUAGGGUUGUAAAGCUCUUUUACCAGGGAUGAUAAUGACAGUACCUGGAGAAUAAGCUCCGGCUAACUCCGUGCCAGCAGCCGCGGUAAUACGGAGGGAGCUAGCGUUGUUCGGAAUUACUGGGCGUAAAGCGCACGUAGGCGGUUACUCAAGUCAGAGGUGAAAGCCCGGGGCUCAACCCCGGAACUGCCUUUGAAACUAGGUAACUAGAAGCUUGGAGAGGUCAGUGGAAUUCCGAGUGUAGAGGUGAAAUUCGUAGAUAUUCGGAAGAACACCAGUGGCGAAGGCGACUGACUGGACAAGUAUUGACGCUGAGGUGCGAAAGCGUGGGGAGCAAACAGGAUUAGAUACCCCGGUAGUCC
rnacentral:rRNA from 1 species